GCAGAGAAAAAGAUGGGCUCAAUGGUUGAUUUAAUGUUAAACAAAGAACGAGUGGCAUCUAGUUGAUAGUAAACCAUGAACGAGUGGCAUUUAGUUGAUAAUAAGCAAAAGAACAAUGAGUCGUAGAGUAUAUGAAACCUACGGACUAUAUGAUGAUUGUAACCCCUAAAGGAUAGGGUAUUCUCGAGACGAGGAUUGGAUCAUGCUCACGGUCUGUUUUUAAAUCUUGUGAUGGAAGCCCCACACAAGUAGUGCGCUCCGGAGUUGGUCACGUGGGAUCGCCUAUUUUGGGUCCCAAGGGAUCGCCUAUUUUGGGUCCCGGCAGACGGUCUCGGUUCGUAGUGCGAGUUGACCCUCCCUACCUUCGAGAUGGCUAGUGAGCAGUAGGCUCCUUCAGGGAAGCCACGAGAUUAAGAAACAAGUAAAUGAGA
rnacentral:lncRNA from 1 species